rnacentral:rRNA from 1 species
CCUACGGGUGGCAGCAGUGAGGAAUAUUGGUCAAUGGACGAGAGUCUGAACCAGCCAAGUAGCGUGAAGGAUGACUGCCCUAUGGGUUGUAAACUUCUUUUAUAAAGGAAUAAAACGAGGCACGUGUGCCUCUUUGCAUGUACUUUAUGAAUAAGGAUCGGCUAACUCCGUGCCAGCAGCCGCGGUCAUACGUAGGAUCCGAGCAUUAUCCGGAGUAACUGGGUUUAAAGAGUUGCGUAGGUGGCAUAAUAAGUAGCUAGUGAAAUAUGGUGGCUCAACAAUUCAGACUAUUAGCUAAACUGUUAAGCUCGAGAGCGUUAGGGGUAACUGGAAUUUCUAGUGUAGGAGUGAAAUCCGUAGAUAUUAGAAGGAACACCAAUAGCGUAGGCAGGUUACUGGGACGGUUCUGACACUAAGGCACGAAAGCGUAGGGAGCAAACGGGAUUAGAUACCCUUGUAGUC